rnacentral:rRNA from 1 species
AGUGAACGCUGGCGGUAGGCCUAACACAUGCAAGUCGAACGGCAGCACAGUAAGAGCUUGCUCGUACGGGUGGCGAGUGGCGGACGGGUGAGGAAUACAUCGGAAUCUACUUUUUCGUGGGGGAUAACGUAGGGAAACUUACGCUAAUACCGCAUACGACCUACGGGUGAAAGCAUGGGAUCUUCGGACCUUGCGCGAUUGAAUGAGCCGAUGUCGGAUUAGCUAGUUGGGGGGGUAAAGGCCCACCAAGGCGACGAUCCGUAGCUGGUCUGAGAGGAUGAUCAGCCACACUGGAACUGAGACACGGUCCAGACUCCUACGGGAGGCAGCAGUGGGGAAUAUUGGACAAUGGGCGCAAGCCUGAUCCAGCCAUACCGCGUGGGUGAAGAAGGCCUUCGGGUUGUAAAGCCCUUUUGUUGGGAAAGAAAAGCAGCAGGUUAAUACCCCGCUGUUCUGACGGUACCCAAAGAAUAAGCACCGGCUAACUUCGUG